GGGCCCGCACAAGCGGUGGAGCAUGUGGUUUAAUUCGAUGCAACGCGAAGAACCUUACCAGGGUUUGACAUAGUACGAAGUUUUUUGAAAAAAAACCACCUUCGGGAACGUACAUACAGGUGGUGCAUGGCUGUCGUCAGCUCGUGUCGUGAGAUGUUCCGUUAAGUCGGAUAACGAGCGCAACCCUUACCCUUAUUUGCCAGCGAUUCGGUCGGGAACUAUAAGGGGACUGCCGGUGAUAAACCGGAGGAAGGUGUGGAUGACGUCAAGUCAUCAUGCCCCUUACAUCCUGGGCUACACACGUACUACAAUGCUACGGACAAAGGGCAGCAAGUUCGCGAGGACAAGCAAAUCCCAUAAACCGUGGCUCAGUUCAGAUCGUAGGCUGCAACUCGCCUACGUGAAGGCGGAAUC
rnacentral:rRNA from 1 species